rnacentral:rRNA from 1 species
GCCCUUGCCCAAUGAUUAUUUAAAUGGGCCGCGGUAUCCUAACCGUGCGAAGGUAGCAUAAUUACUUGUCUACUAAAUAUAGACCUGUAUGAAUGGCAUCACGAGGGCUGCACUGUCUCCCCCAUUUAAUCAGUAAAACUGAUCUUCCCGUGAAGAAGCGGGAAUUUAAUUAUAAGACGAGAAGACCCCAUGGAGCUUCAAACUAAGAGACAACUGCCAAAUUCAAUACCAUCAAAUACUGCACCCAUGACUCAAAGUUUUCGGUUGGGGCGACCGCGGAGCACAACAAAACCUCCUCGAUGAAAGAAUAUGAAAUUCUCACCCUAGAGCCACACCACAAAGGACCACUAAUGUGACAUCCAUUGACCCAAAUAUUUGAUCAACGAACCUAGUUACCCUGGGGAUAACAGCGCAAUCCAUUUCUAGAGCCCAUAUCGACAAAUGGGUUUACGACCUCGAUGUUGGAUCAGGGUGUCCUAGUGGUGCAACCGCUACUAAAGGUUCGUUUGUUCAACGAUUAAAACCCUACGUGAUCUGAGUUCAGACCGGA